CCUACGGGUGGCAGCAGUGAGGAAUAUUGGUCAAUGGACGCAAGUCUGAACCAGCCAUGCCGCGUGCAGGAUGACGGCUCUAUGAGUUGUAAACUGCUUUUGUACGAGGGUAAACGCAGAUACGCGUAUCUGUCUGAAAGUAUCGUACGAAUAAGGAUCGGCUAAAUCCGUGCCAGCAGCCGCGGUAAUACGGAGGAUUCAAGCGUUAUCCGGAUUUAUUGGGUUUAAAGGGUGCGUAGGCGGUCGGAUAAGUUAGAGUGUAAAUCCCGAGGCUCAACUUCGGAACUGCAUUUGAUACUGUUCGGCUAGAGAGUAGUAGCGGUAGGCGGAAUGCAUGGUGUAGCGGUGAAAUGCUUAGAGAUCAUACAGAACACCGAUUGCGAAGGCAGCUUACCAAGCUACGUCUGACGUUGAGGCACGAAGGCGUGGGGAGCAAACAGGAUUAGAUACCCCUGUAGUC
rnacentral:rRNA from 1 species